rnacentral:rRNA from 1 species
AUACGUAGGGGGCGAGCGUUGUCCGGAAUGAUUGGGCGUAAAGGGCGCGUAGGCGGCGCGGUAAGUCUGGAGUGAAAGUCCUGCUUUCAAGGUGGGAAUUGCUUUGGAUACUGCCGCGCUUGAGUGCAGGAGAGGUUAUCGGAAUUCCCGGUGUAGCGGUGAAAUGCGUAGAGAUCGGGAGGAACACCAGUGGCGAAGGCGGGUAACUGGACUGCAACUGACGCUGAGGCGCGAAAGUGUGGGGAGCAAACAGGAUUAGAUACCCUGGUAGUCCAUGCCGUAAACGAUGAUUACUAGGUGUAGGGGGUAUCGACCCCUUCUGUGCCGGAGUUAACACAAUAAGUAAUCCACCUGGGGAGUACGGCCGCAAGGUUGAAACUCAAAGGAAUUGACGGGG